UACUGAGGGAGCUAGCGUUGUUCGGAUAUACUGGGCGUAAAGCGCACGUAGGCGGCGCAGCAAGUCAGGGGUGAAAUCCCGGAGCUCAACUCCGGAACUGCCUUUGAAACUGCAGUGCUAGAAUUCUGGAGAGGCGAGUGGAAUUCCGAGUGUAGAGGUGAAAUUCGUAGAUAUUCGGAAGAACACCAGUGGCGAAGGCGACUCGCUGGACAGACAUUGACGCUGAGGUGCGAAAGCGUGGGGAGCAAACAGG
rnacentral:rRNA from 1 species